rnacentral:rRNA from 1 species
AGCCACAGCCAUAUCACCCUGCAGCCCAAGACCGGUUACUCACUGAAGCUAAGCAGGGCUGAGCCUGGUCAGUAUCUGGAUGGGAGACCACUAGGGAACACUAGGUUGCUGUUGGAA